ACGCUCGACACCUACGGGAGGCNGCAGUUGGGAAUAUUGGACAAUGGAGGAAACUCUGAUCCAGUGACGCCGCGUGAAGGAAGAAGGUCUUCGGAUUGUAAACUUAUUUUGUCAGGGAAGAAAAAUGACUGUACCUGAAGAAAAAGCACCGGCUAACUACGUGCCGGCAGCCGCGGUAAUCUGAGCGGGCUGGCAAGGC
rnacentral:rRNA from 1 species